CACACACACACACACACACAUACACACACACACAGAAAAAAUAAUAAGCGAAACACAGACGCGCGACUGAGCUGGAGGUAGAUUUACUUCUGCCUUUAUAACA